rnacentral:lncRNA from 1 species
GUGGGGCUGCCUCCUCUGUUUACAGUGGAGCAGCCCGACAGCCACUCUCCCCUUCCUGAACCUGCCAAAGACCUGGAGGAUUUAUUGGACACUCCCAUUGUUGGCAACUUCAUUCAUCACUAGAGUCUACACAGGGUUUUUACAGGACCACAUCAAAACCUUCACCCAUGGAACAGUGCGAGGUAUACUGCUGCUUCAAGCAUACCAGCGGCUUCAAGAACAACCAUCCCAAGCCCCCCAAGCCUUUCCCCUUGCACACCGCCCCUCUACAGCUAGAAGCAGUCAGAUGAUAAAGUCACUCCUCUUCCUUUAUCACCUAUUAAAGGCUGGAAUGUUAGAGAGCCAAGCUACCCCUCCUCCUCCUCCAUGACCUUUGCAAUACGGUCCUUUGUGACCACCUACAAACACCUCCCCACUUUUUCUACAGCCACUUCUGCAAGACUUUCAGUAGAACUGGUAAACAGUUCCAGGAUGUGGUUAAGACAUCUGCCCACCUUGCCUAGCCAAGCUUGCCUAGCCAAGCAGGCAAAAACAUUUCCAGGAAAUGGUUGAAACACCUGCAACUCUACUCAGUUUCCCCCACCCCAACCUAGCACCUUGCCCUAUAAAACCCCACAGCAGCCUGUAAGCGGGGCUACCUCCUCCACAGUGGAGCAGCCCAGCAGGUUAAUAAAAACUUGCUUGCCUGACUUUGGGGUCUCCUUGUUCCUUCUCUUGGCUAACCUUACGCUUACUUUAAGUUUACAUGAGUCCUUGUGUGUUAAAUGAGUCUCCUGAAGGCAGCAGAUGGUUGGUGAGUUCUUACCCAUUCUGCAGUUCUGUGUCUUUUAAGUGAAGCAUUUAGGCCAUU